rfam:Homo sapiens chromosome 2, GRCh38 reference primary assembly.
GCUGGGCGCGGUGGCGGGUGCCUGUAGUCCCAGCUACUCGGGAGGCUGAGGCAGGAGAAUGGCAUGAACCCAGGAGGCGGAGCCUGCAGUGAGCCGAGAUAGGGCCACUGCAGUCCCGCCUGGGUGAAAAAGCGAGACUCUGUCUCAA